UACGUAGGAUGCGAGCGUUAAUCGGAAUUACUGGGCGUAAAGCGUGCGCAGGCGGUUCGUUGUGUCUGCUGUGAAAUCCCCGGGCUCAACCUGGGAAUGGCAGUGGAAACUGGCGAGCUUGAGUGUGGCAGAGGGGGGUGGAAUUCCGCGUGUAGCAGUGAAAUGCGUAGAGAUGCGGAGGAACACCGAUGGCGAAGGCAACCCCCUGGGCUGACACUGACGCUCAGGCACGAAAGCGUGGGGAGCAAACAGG
rnacentral:rRNA from 1 species